rnacentral:sRNA from 1 species
GCUGAUUGCCCUUCCUGGGCGUUUCCUCCCUGUAAACUUUAAAGCCGCGCCGCAAUGCGCGGCUUUUUUUUAUCCGAAAU